GUAAGUGGGUAUACAUGUAGAAA
rnacentral:piRNA from 1 species